ACUGCUCGUCGCCAUAUAUAGAUCACGCCAAAUUAGCAUACUUCCCGCCUAACUUUUUAAUGUGGAUCCACUUGUGAGAAAAAAAAUUGGAGCCCGCCAAGGCACAACACCACAUCAGCCCAAUUAUUUCUCCUGGUCCUGAACAGCACCCUCACGCACAGCACACUUUCCUUUUCCUGGGCAACGCACGCACACAGCACCCCGCCGCCGCCAGCUCCAAUCGAGAAAAAAAAUCCCGCAGCCACCACC
rnacentral:lncRNA from 1 species